CUGAUCAGUGGCGAACGGGUGAGUAACACGUGAGUAACCUGCCCUUGACUCUGGGAUAACCGCGGGAAACGGCGGCUAAUACCGGAUAUGAGACGUACAGGCAUCUGUUGCGUCUGGAAAGAUUUAUCGGUCAAGGAUGGGCUCGCGGCCUAUCAGCUUGUUGGUGGGGUGAUGGCCUACCAAGGCGACGACGGGUAGCCGGCCUGAGAGGGCGACCGGCCACACUGGGACUGAGACACGGCCCAGACUCCUACGGGAGGCAGCAGUGGGGAAUAUUGCACAAUGGGCGCAAGCCUGAUGCAGCGACGCCGCGUGAGGGAUGAAGGCCUUCGGGUUGUAAACCUCUUUCAGCAGGGAAGAAGCGCAAGUGACGGUACCUGCAGAAGAAGCGCCGGCUAACUACGUGCCAGCAGCCGCGGUAAUACGUAGGGCGCAAGCGUUGUCCGGAAUUAUUGGGCGUAAAGAGCUCGUAGGCGGUUUGUCGCGUCUGCUGUGAAAACCUGAGGCUCAACCUCGGGCUUGCAGUGGGUACGGGCAGACUAGAGUGCGGUAGGGGUGACUGGAAUUCCUGGUGUAGCGGUGGAAUGCGCAGAUAUCAGGAGGAACACCGAUGGCGAAGGCAGGUCACUGGGCCGCAACUG
rnacentral:rRNA from 1 species